GGUCAGUAGCUGGAUGUUUUUCCAGACCAUGAGAUACUAUAAAUAUAUAAAUAAGGCCCCCUUGUCAGGUCAGGAAAACUCCUGGCCCUUACAUGAUAAUAAUGAUUCAUUUACAAGUGUGUCAUUUGAUCUUGUGUUCUUGUCCAAAUAGGUCCAGUAAGAAGCAACACUACACUGAAAAUCAGCACUCGUCUGGGAAGAAACAGAUACAAGGAGCAGUGUGUUUCUGUACAGGGAUGAUUUUGUGGACUUGGUUGGCGCCUGGCAAUGAGUACAACCAGGCUGAAGAUGUGGAUGCCUUCGCCAGGGACACGUCCAUUCUCCGCUUUAAAUGUCUCAAUAUUGCUAGAGGUUCUGAUCGCAGUGCACACCAAGCCUGAGGACUCAACAGGAGCUGGAUGAGCUUUAUGAUGUCUUCAUGGGUUUCUCAAAGCUAGAGGUUCUGAUCGCAGUGCACACCAAGCCUGAGGACUCAAUAGGAGCUGGAUGAGCUUUAUGAUGUCUUCCUGGGUUUCUCAAAGCUAGAGGUUCUGAUCGCAGUGCACACCAAGCCAGAGGACUCAACAGGAGCUAGAUGAGCUUUAUGAUGUCUUCAUGGAAGUGAAAAAUAAAUGGAAGACUGAUGUAAGUUCUGAGAUAAGCCAUUGACAGAGCUUAACACCACCCUUGGAUUUAGAAAGUAGACCUACAUAUGAGCCUUCAACAAGUAAAAUACAAAACCAGCCACAUCUUGAUUUUCAAGAUAACUCCUAUGUGUGAGAAUAACAUUGAUUUAUGAACAACCUGCUCUCAUAAAAACCCUGUCCUCAUUCCUGAUGACAAGUGAAUACAUUCGUUGUGUAAUGUUUCUCUUGUACCAGAACUUAAUGAUCUUUGUUUACUUUUAACGCAGACGGGUCCUACGUUUCUAACAAGGACACGAAAACCGCUGCAGUGACAUGUCCACCGGCUGAUUAAAGAUGACUGAUACCACAGCGAACACAGGCAACGAGAACACUUGACAGGUGGCUCGCUGAUUUAAAAAAACACGUCUGAAAAUGGUCGAUCACCUAUGGAGAUAACGUGCACAUUUUUUUUGUGUGUGUGGGGGUGUUGUUAAAAUGUCAUAAGGUAUUAUAAAAC